UUAGAGUUUGAUCAUGGCUCAGGACGAACGCUGGCGGCGCGCCUAACACAUGCAAGUCGAACGGAGACACUCCGUUCACUGAGUGGUAGAAGGCGAAAUGCUAGAAAUUAAGAAGCGUUGCGCUUCUACUGUUGAGUGAACGGAGUGUCUUAGUGGCGGACGGGUGAGUAACGCGUGAGCAACCUGCCUUACAGCGCGGAAUAACACAUCGAAAGGUGUGCUAAUACCGCAUAAUGUGCCGAGACCGCAUGGUUUUGGCACCAAAGAUUUAUCGCUGUAAGAUGGGCUCGCGUCCGAUUAGAUAGUUGGUGAGGUAACGGCUCACAAAGUCGACGAUCGGUAGCCGGACUGAGAGGUUGAACGGCCACAUUGGGACUGAGACACGGCCCAGACUCCUACGGGAGGCAGCAGUGGGGGAUAUUGCACAAUGGGCGAAAGCCUGAUGCAGCGACGCCGCGUGAGGGAACGACGGUCUUCGGAUUGUAAACCUCUGUCUUCGGGGACGAUAAUGACGGUACCCGAGGAGGAAGCUCCGGCUAACUACGUGCCAGGCAGCCGCGGUA
rnacentral:rRNA from 1 species